UACGGAGGGUGCAAGCGUUAUCCGGAUUUACUGGGUUUAAAGGGUGCGCAGGCGGAUAUGUAAGUCAGUGGUGAAAUCUCUAGGCUUAACCUGGAAAUUGCCGUUGAUACUAUAUAUCUUGAAUGCUGUGGAGGUAAGCGGAAUAUGUCAUGUAGCGGUGAAAUGCUUAGAUAUGACAUAGAACACCUAUUGCGAAGGCAGCUUACUACGCAGAUAUUGACGCUCAUGCACGAAAAGCGUGGGGAUCAAACAGG
rnacentral:rRNA from 1 species